AUCGGAGUCUGCAACCCGACUCCGUGAAGCUGGAUUCGCUAGUAAUCGCGCAUCAGCCAUGGCGCGGUGAAUACGUUCCCGGGCCUUGUACACACCGCCCGUCAAGCCAUGGGAGCCGGGGGUGCUUGAAGUGCGUGACCGCAAGGAUCGACCUAGGGCAAAACCGGUGACUGGGGCUAAGUCGUAACAAGGUACC
rnacentral:rRNA from 1 species